rnacentral:lncRNA from 1 species
UACGGCUGAGUUAUUAUAAUUCUUGCUAUUUAAGACAGGAGCUAGCUCAGGUAAAUACUCUUAACUUAUUUUCCCUAUUACGGGCUUGGGAUACGGUAAUAUAAAUACCGCAUGGUCAGGUACAAGUACGUAAUAGGCUGGAAGCUGCUCAGGGCGUUAAUAAGGAAUCUUGCAAGUUCUAGGUGCCUAAAGUCUGUUGAAUAACAUUUAAGUUUUUUUUUUGAUCCGCCUGUGGACC